AACCGGAAGCGUUAGCAUUAGCCGUUACGUUUUUUUGGCUAAAGGUUGCAGGCUUGCUUUCUAGUGGCUUUGGUAAGACCUUCUGUUUAUUCAG